UACGGGGGGAGCAAGGCGUUGUUCGGAUUUACUGGGCGUAAAGGGCGCGUAGGCGGCCACUGCAAGUCGGUUGUGAAAUCUCCGGGCUUAACCCGGAAAGGUCAAUCGAUACUGCAGGGCUAGAGUGCAGAAGGGGCAACUGGAAUUCUCGGUGUAGCGGUGAAAUGCGUAGAUAUCGAGAGGAACACCUGCGGCGAAGGCGGGUUGCUGGGCUGACACUGACGCUGAAGCGCGAAAGCCAGGGGAGCGAACGGG
rnacentral:rRNA from 1 species